rnacentral:lncRNA from 1 species
GGAGUCGUCCACCUCAAUCAUAGUCAUACCUAGGGGGAAUGGACAAAGAUCCUACCCUUGAUUGGAUAAUGAUCCUCUGUGACGUGGAGUGCAGUUCAAAGGCACAACCGCAUCUCGAUGAACUCAAUGCGGAGUGCAAUUCAAAUGCAUAACUGCAUCUCGGUGAACUCAAGAAAUGUUAAAAACCACACGCUAAUACAACAGGUUAAUAAAAUC